rnacentral:lncRNA from 1 species
AAGAGGUUGGGCGGAUGUUGUGAGCCGGGUCGCUGCGGCCGAGGCUCCGGCCCCCAGGACCACUGGCUGCCCAUGAGAGAUGAAGGAUGGCAUCCAAGGGGGCCGGCAUGUCUUUCUCCCGCAAGAGCUAUAGGCUGACCUCAGAUGCUGAGAAAUCCAGGGUCACAGGCAUUGUGCAGGAGAAGCUGCUGAAUGACUACCUGAACCGCAUCUUUUCCUCUUCUGAACAUGCACCCCCAGCAGCCACCAGCAGGCAGCCCCCCUGUGAGCUCAGGGGAAAGGAUGGGAUUUAGUGUCAUCUGGCUGAUUUCAAGGACUUGUGGACCCCUGGCAGCCUCUCACUCUCCCCAGGAAACCCCUGAACUUCCAGAACCUGCCAGAACAUUUGGACCAGUUGCUACAGGUGGACAAUGAGGAGGAGGAAAGCCAGGGACAGGUUGAAGGGCGGCUUGGCCCAUCCACUGUGGUCCUGGACCACACA